UCGUCCAAGUACCUUCGACCUACAAUGUCAUAUUUGGAAGAUCCAGACUAAACACCCUCAGAGCGAUAGUCUCGACAUACCACUUGCUGGUCUGGUUCUUGACUAAAAAUGGAGUUGGAAAAAUGUGCGGAGAUCAGCAGCUCACUCGACGAUGCUUCCAAAUCUCAACUCAAAACAAUAAAUCAGAGGAUUCCCUGUCAGUCGAUAAGUUGGAC
rnacentral:lncRNA from 1 species